rnacentral:rRNA from 1 species
GAUGAACGCUAGCGGCAGGCCUAAUACAUGCAAGUCGAACGGUGUCUUCGGACAUAGUGGCGCACGGGUGCGUAACACGUAUGCAACCUACCUUACAUUGGGGGAUAGCCUUUCGAAAGGGAGAUUAAUACCGCAUAAGACAGUAGCUGGGCAUCCAGCAGCUGUUAAAGAUUUAUCGAUGUAAGCUGGGCAUGAGUCCAAUUAGCUAGUUGGUGAGGUAACGGCUCACCAAGGCAAUGAUUGGUAGGGGAACUGAGAGGUCAAUCCCCCACACUGGCACUGAGAUACGGGCCAGACUCCUACGGGAGGCAGCAGUAGGGAACAUUGGGCAAUGGACGCAAGUCUGACCCAGCCAUGCCGCGUGCAGGAUGAAGGCGUUAUGCGUUGUAAACUGCUUUUAUACAGGAAGAAACGACUCUUGCGAGAGGCAUUGACGGUACUGUAUGAAUAAGCACCGGCUAACUCCGUGCCAGCAGCCGCGGUAAAAC